rnacentral:rRNA from 1 species
AUACGGAGGGUGCAAGCGUUGUUCGGAAUCACGGGGCGUAAAGGGCGCGCAGGCGGUUUGGUAAGUCAGAUGUGAAAGCCCACGGCUCAACCGUGGAAGUGCAUUUGAAACUGCCAGACUUGAGUACCAGAGGGGAAAGUGGAAUUCCCGGUGUAGAGGUGAAAUUCGUAGAUAUCGGGAGGAAUACCGGUGGCGAAGGCGACUUUCUGGCUGGAUACUGACGCUGAGGCGCGAAAGCGUGGGGAGCAAACAGGAUUAGAAACCCUAGUAGUCC